rnacentral:rRNA from 1 species
CCUACGGGAGGCAGCAGUGGGGAAUAUUGGGCAAUGGGCGCAAGCCUGACCCAGCAACGCCGCGUGAAGGAAGAAGGCUUUCGGGUUGUAAACUUCUUUUCUCAGGGACGAAGCAAGUGACGGUACCUGAGGAAUAAGCUACGGCUAACUACGUGCCAGCAGCCGCGGGAAUACGUAGGGGGCACGCGUUAUCCGGAUUUACUGGGUGUAAAGGGCGUGUAGGCGGGACUGCAAGUCAGAUGUGAAAACCAUGGGCUCAACCUAUGACCUGCAUUUGAACCUGUAGUUCUUGAGUACUGGAGAGGAAGACGGAAUUCCUAGUGUAGCGGUGAAAUGCGUAGAUAUUAGGAGGAACACCAGUGGCGAAGGCGGUCAUCUGGACAGCAACUGACGCUGAGGCGCGAAAGCGUGGGGAGCAAACAGGAUUAGAUACCCGUGUAGUC